rnacentral:rRNA from 1 species
AAGAGAAAUCAAGGGCGUAUGGUGGAUGCCUUGACUGAAAGAGGCGAUGAAGGACGUAGCAUGGCUGCGAUAAGCUUCGGGGAGGUGCCAAGCAACCUUUGAUCCGGAGAUCUCCGAAUGGGGAAACCCACUGUCUUUAUGACAGUAUUCUACACUUGAUGUAGAAAGCGCACCUGGGGAAGUGAAACAUCUCAGUACCCAGAGGAAAAGAAACCAAUAGGAAUUCUCUUAGUAGCGGCGAGCGAAACGGGACGAGCCCAAACCCAUUACUUUUAAGUAAUGGGGGUUGUAGGAUAACAACGUUCUUUUUUAUUAAAGAAGAGAAGUUACAAAGUUUGAAAUUAGCAGAAGGUGCUGGGAAGCACCACCCAAGAACGUAACAGUCGUGUAAGCGAAAAUUUCAUACCUUCUUUGUUGUUACUCCUGAGUACUUCAGGACAUGAAUAGCCUGGGGGAAUCUGCCGGAACUAACCGGUAAGGCUAAAUACUCUUUCAGAUCGAUAGUGAACAAGUACCGUGAGGGAAAGGUGAAAAGUACCCCGGAGAGGGGAGUGAAAUAGACCUGAAACCAUACGCCUACAAGGAGUCAGAGCGGGCAUUUAUGUCCGUCAUGGCGUGCCUAUUGAAGAAUGAGCCAACGAGUUUAUCCAUAUCCUUCGUCUAAGAAGUAAUCCUUCGGAGGCAUAGCGAAAGCGAGUAUUAAUAGUGCGACCAUAAAGGGUUUGGAUAAGACCCGAAGCCAAGUGAGCUUACCAUGAGCAGGGUGAACCUCUCAGAAAUGAGAGGGGAGGCCCGAACCGGUUGACCGUACAAUAUCAUCGGAUGACUUGUGGUAAGGAGUGAAAAGCUAAUCGAACUUGGUAAUAGCUGGUUCUCUCCGAAACAGCUUUAGGGCUGGCGUCGAGUGAUCCUUCUGGGGGUAGAGCACUGGAUGGUUUGAACAGGGGGAAACCUCGUCAAACCAAUCAAACUCCGAAUACCAGAAGUUACAGCUCGGCAGUUAGACUGUGGGGGCAAAGCUCCAUUGGUCGAAAGGGAAACAGCCCAGAUCUCAAGUUAAGGUCCCUAAAUCUACACUAAGUGCACUUAAGGAGGUAAAAUUUCUCAGACAAUGAGGAGGUUGGCUUAGAGGCAGCCAUCCUUUAAAGAUAGCGUAACAGCUCACUCAUUAAGAGAUUUCGCGCCGCAGAUAAUCGGGGCUAAGUGUGGUACCGAAACUGAGGGUUCGCGUAUUUCAUUGGGAAGGUGGAAUUUAUUUCAUCUUUCCAAUGAAAUACGUGAGCGGUAGGAGAGUAUUCCACUCUGCGAUGAAGCGGAAGGCGUGAGCCACCGUGGAGCGUGUGGAAGUAAGAAUGUUGGCACAAGUAACCGCAAUGCAGGUGAGAUCCCUGCACGCCGAAAGACUAAGGUUUCCUUCGCAAUGAUUGUCAGCGAAGGGUUAGUCGGGCCUAAGCGGAUGGCGAAAGCCGGACGCGAUGGACACAUGGUUAAUAUUCCAUGACUUCUGUAUGUUGCGAUGGAGCGACGAAGUUUAGUAUAUCUUGCGUAUUAUUGGAUUUACGUUCGUGCCUUGAGGAGGUCUCUUAGGAAAAUCCGGGAGACACCACACUUCGGUGUGGAACUCUAAGGGGAGCGAAAAUCUGAGGCUACGGCCAAAGAGAUAAGGUAGAGCAAGCUUCCAAGAAAAACUUCUAAGCAUAAACAUACAGAAACCGUACCGUAAACCAACACAGGUAGUCAGGUCGAGUAGACCAAGGCGAACGAGUGAUUUCUCCCCAAGGAACUCGGCAAAAAAGCAGCCGUAACUUCGGGAUAAGGCUUGCCCUUGCAGCAAUGUAGGGGCCGCAGCGAAAGUUUUCCUGGCAACUGUUUAUCAAAAACACAGCUCCGUGCGAACUCGUAAGAGGAUGUAUACGGGGUGACGCCUGACCAAUGCCAGAAGGUUAAGUAUCGGUGGUGUAUUGUCUUCGGAUGAUAUGCUGGCUGAUAUAAGCCCUGGUGAAUGUCGGCCGUAACUAUAACGGUCCUAAGGUUCACUACAGAUACCACCGAGGUAUGUGUAGUGAAGGAUUGGGACCAAGUAGCUACGUAAUACGAGAUAAACAAACGCACAUGCUGCCUCGCUACAUAGUAAUAUGUAGUUGAUCCACGAAUAUAGAAAUAUAUUCAUAAAUAAUACACAACUAUAUGCUGGAAACCCCUUACGCGGGGCAAUCAGCAGGGAAGUCCGCUCCUCAUUACGAGUGAUGACCCCUCAGAGACUACACGUUGUGCCCCUUUUUUACGAAAGGGUGAAGAUAUAGUCCAAAGGUUUAAAGGAACCUAGAGCGAAAUUCCUUGUCUGGUAAGUUCAGACGUGCACGAAUGGCGUAAUGACUGGGAAACUGUCUCGGGGAGUAGCUCGGUGAAAAUGCAAUACCGGUGAAGAUGCCGGUUACCUGUAGUUAGACGAAAAGACCCCGGGAGCUUUACUAUAGCUUGAUAUUGGGUGUGUUUUUUGGAUGCGUAGUAUAGAUGGGAGACUUUGAAGGGUCGCUUUUGGGCAAUCUGGAGUCGUCAGUGAAAUACCAUCCUUUCAAGAGGCACAUUCUAACCUAUACGGAAAAAACGUAUGGAGACAGUAUCUGGCAGGUAGUUUGAGUGGGGCGCUCUCCUCCUAAAAAGUAACGGAGGAGCCUAUUAAGGUUCUCUAGGCGCGAAUGGAAACCGUGCCGAUAGUGUAAUGGCAUAAGAGAGCUUGACUGCGAGGCGUACGUGCCAAGCAGGUGCGAAAGCAGAGCAUAGUGAACCGACGGUCCGCUUUAGAUGCGGCCGGAGAUUAUCGGAUAAAAGCUACCCCGGGGAUAACAGGCUAGUUCCGCCCAAGAGUUCAUAUCGACGGCGGAGUUCGGCACCUCGAUGUCGGCUCAACUUAUCCUGGGGCUGGAGAAGGUCCCAAGGGUAUGGCUGUUCGCCAUUUAAAAAGUUACGCGAGCUGGGUUCAAACCGUCCAGAAGCUCUUACGCAAGUAAGGGAAGAAGGGCUUUUGAACCGUUUGAACCCAAAAUAUUGAGUGUUUUUUCGUCUAUUCAAUAAAGAAAGAGACCAACCAUAACACGGCGGUCAUAGAGAGUAAUUUUUAUGAUUUGUUGUCAACUAAUAUCGGUGAAACCCUAGCAGUUUAUCUGUGGGUGAUACCGAGGGAAAGGUACUGAAUGCAGUACUCGCCCGUAGAGACUGAACGUUGACCCCCACUUUAUGUGGGUGAAGUUACAGUCCAAUGCACUUGGUAACAAGUGAAAAGCCUUAUGUUU